UGGCAAGUCGACCAAAGGCGAAAGCAGUUAUCAAGUGCACACUCGUUGAUCAAGAGCGAAAGUUAAGGGUUCGAAGACGAUCAGAUACCGUCGUAGUCUUAACUAUAAAUGAUACUGACCAGGGAUAGGACUCUGUCCAUUCCGACUUCUUCUGGACCUUGGAGAAAUUACAGUCUUUGAGUUCUGGGGGGAGUAUGGUCGCAAGGCUGAAACUUAAAGGAAUUGACGGAAGGGCACACAAAGAGUGGAACCUGCGGCUUAAUUUGACUCAACACGGGAAAACUCACCAGGUCCAGAUACACGUAUGAAAGACAAGCUGAAAGACUUUUCUCAAUGAUGUAAGUGGUGGUGCAUGGUCGUUCUUAGUUCGUGGAUUGAUUUGUCUGGUCUAUUCCGAUAACGAGCGAGACCCCGGCGUUCCUAAUAGAGGCAGCAGCCCGACUUACCCCGCAAGGGGUCUGUUAGCAGCCGUCGUAUAAACUUCUUAGACGUAUCAGAGCCGAUAAGGUUCUUGAAAUGGGUUAAUAACAGGUCAGUCAUGCCCUUAGAUGUUCUGGGCCGCACGCGCGUUACAAUGGUAUAAAUAGAAAGUGCUCACACGGGCUUCUCCGCGGCCUAAUGGUCGCGGUAAUCCGUAAUCUCUCCCUUGACUGGGACAGACUAUUGCAAUUAUUGGUCUCAAACGAGGAAUUUUUAGWAGUCGCAGGUCAUUAACCUGCGABG
rnacentral:rRNA from 1 species